GCCAUUUUGUGAGGAGGGUGAUAAACGGGCGCUGGUAGCGCCCUGUUCAGUUACUUUUCAGGUGAGGGAGGAGGAAGGUCGUGCAGCCAUCUCGAGGGUCGUGAAACCGGACUAACUUCUUCUAAAUCCCCUUCCACCGACCGAGCCGCAGGCCCUUCUGAAGAGGAAGCGUCCCUGGAGGCUGCUAGUUGCGGCGAACCGUCGGGGUCGCUGCUGCCGCCUCUAGCUGAGCGCGCGCGGGCCCUCCCAGGGCGUUGAUUUCUCGGCGCGCAGCCUUCGGGCCGAGCCCUCGCCGGCCAUGAGUUACGGGCGUCCUCCCCCAGACGUGGAGGGGAUGACCUCUCUGAAGGUGGAUAACCUGACAUACCGCACCUCGCCCGACACUCUGCGGCGAGUCUUUGAGAAGUACGGCCGGGUGGGCGAUGUCUACAUCCCCCGCGAUCGCUACACCAAGGAGUCCCGUGGCUUCGCCUUCGUGCGUUUCCACGACAAGCGCGACGCCGAAGACGCUAUGGACGCCAUGGACGGCGCCGUGCUUGACGGCCGGGAGCUGCGGGUGCAAAUGGCCCGCUAUGGCCGCCCGCCGGACUCCCACCACAGCCGCCGAGGACCGCCGCCCCGCAGGUACGGGGGAGGCGGCUACGGACGCCGGAGCCGCAGCCCGAGGCGGCGUCGCCGCAGCCGCUCUCGAAGCAGGAGUCGUUCCAGAUCCCGCAGCCGAUCUCGUUACAGCCGGUCCAAGUCUCGCUCGCGUACUCGAUCCAGAUCUAGAUCUACCUCCAAGUCCAGGUCGGCCCGUAGAUCCAAGUCCAAGUCCUCGUCGGUCUCCAGAUCGCGGUCGAGGUCCAGAUCCAGGUCCAGAUCCAGAAGUCCUCCACCGGUAUCGAAGAGGGAAUCAAAGUCUAGAUCUCGAUCCAAGAGCCCCCCCAAGUCUCCUGAAGAAGAAGGAGCUGUUUCCUCUUAGGAUCAUGCUGCGGUCUCCUGUUUGCUAAAAGAAUAUUGGCCAGUAUUGCAGAUUUUAACUGAUUUGGCUGAUCCUCCAGGGACCAGUUUCUGUGGGCGUGUGUUGGAGCAGAUACGGCAGAAAGCAACAUAAUGGAUGACUUGGGGGGAAAGACCACAUUCAGUCCAUUGAAGAGUCCCUGGAACAAGCAACUGGCUAUUGAAAAGGUUAUUUUGUAACAUUUUGUCUAACUUUUUAACUUGUUUUAAAGCUGCCUCAGAUGGCAAACUUCAUUUUAUGUGCCAUUUUGUUGCUGUUAUUCAAAUUUCUUGUAAUUUAGUGAAGUGAACGACUACAGAUUUCAUUAUUGGCUUUGGAUAUUUGAGGUAAAUUUUCAUUUUUGUUUAUAUAGUGCUGAUUUUUGUUUGAAAUUAAACAGACUCCCUUAACCUAAUUUGUGGCCUCCUGAGUUUUGAGGAAACAUGCAGCCAUUACAUGCUGAAUAGCCUAAUGCUAUCAAGAGAAGUUAACUCAACAUUGCCUUCAUUCUUUUUUUUUUUUAAUCUACAAAACCUUGGUGUAAAUUUGUUUGUAAAAUACUAAUUACUCUCAGAUACUAAGUAGUAUCUGAACCCAAAUUUGUAUAAGACUUUUCAGGUGACAAAACUUAAUUUUUGAAAGGAUUCUUUUACCAAACACAAUUCUAAUCUCUUCUCUUAUGUAUUUUUGUGCACUAGGCGCAGUUGUGUAGCAGUUGAGUAAUGCUGGUUAGCUGUUAAGGUGGCGUGUUGCAGUGCAGAGUGCUUGGCUGUUUCCUGUUUUCUCCUGAUUGCUCCUGUGUAAAGAUGCCUUGUCGUGCAGAAACAAAUGGCUGUCCAGUUUAUUAAAAUGCCUGACAACUGCACUUCCAGUCACCCGGGCCUUGCAUAUAAAUUACGGAGCAUACAGUGAGCACAUCUAGCUGAUGAUAAACACACCUUAUUUUUUUUCCCCCCCAAAAAAAGUGGUAAAUCUGAUCAUCUUCAUGUAUGAACUUGGCAUAUGAAAAAUGUAACAUUAAGGAAAGCAUUCCUUUGUAAGUACUGAUAACAUGGUGUAUCUUUUGCUUAUGAUAUUCUGUAUUAUAACCACUGUUUCUGUAGUUUACAAUUAAAACAUUUUUCUUGAUGUUAGCUUUUCUCUAAACUCAAUGUCUUGGUCUUAAUUUUUUUUUUUAGUUUGAAAGACCUAUGCAACUAACCUGUGAAUGUCAUUAUUGACUGUACUAAAGUAAAAUUAUUUUUUAUUUUUAUUUUUUUUUCCAACUGAGCCUUUUUCUCCCCCUUGAGUUAAAACUGGGUACUACUGCCAAAUUGGCACAUGCCCAAGUUCAUUACUAAAACCAAGGUACCAAAGUAAGCCUAUCAACAGCUCCUGCAUUGGCUAUUGAUAUUUUUCACCUGUUAAAAAGGUGAAAGUCACCAAGUACAUAUCCUCUUGGGACUAAAGAUCUAAGUCAUGAUUCUUAGGUAAAAUUUAUUAUGGUGGUUGCAUGCUUUGGUUUACACUAAAGCUUUAUUUUAUCAGAGCCAAGUGAAUAAACAUCAUAAUGGUUAGCAACUUAGGGUUUUUUCUUUUUCUUUUUUUUUUUUUUUUUCCCCCACGAUACUCUGCAAAUUUUUAUUCCUGGUUCCUACUGAGAAGGGUGGGCUUGUAGUGGCUUUACUAUGCAGCAAGCACACUAAACAGAAUUGUGAUGUUGUUCAAAAGAAGCAUAUAGGACUUAAUUGCUGAAGACAUAGGAACACUUCAGAGGACAUUCUUUGCCAAAGAAAUGAUCAUCAUUUCAACAGUAUGUCUUCCUGGAAGGGCAGAUUCUGCUAGAUGUUCUUUGUCGGCACCAAAAGACUCCAGAGGAAUGUGGAUACAUUGCAGCUCCCACUUGUAGAGCAAAGCUUCAAGUGAACACUCAGCACUAAAGAAAAUAAAGGUUUUUCUUAACAAUG